rnacentral:lncRNA from 1 species
AGGCAGGCUGCUGCUAUCAGGGAAUACUGGUGCCAUUUUCAGCAUCGCAGGGUAUAAGGAUAGAGCCUCUGUGCUGCACGCUCAGCUAGGUUCGGCUCAGCUCAGCUCGCCACAGACCAGCUGAACUAGAGGUGGAUUGGAGGGCUCAGAAUAAGAGCAGAGACCUGCUGAUCCCCUGACACAGCUCUUACUGCCUUGCCCCCCGACUGUAUUUCUUCUCCCUCCUUUCAUCUCUGUCAUUCCUCUCGUUUCUCUUUGGGCCAAAUGGAGAGAGAGCGAGGCCGGGAUAGGGCGCUAAUGUAAGAACCGGGACAAAGGAGGCGUAGGCUGGGAUGGUAUCCUCCACGGCAUCUCCUCCACACCAGCAAACUGCGUCUGUAUGCAUAAUUAACCAGGGCGACUCGGGAG